rnacentral:rRNA from 1 species
CCUACGGGCGGCAGCAGUGGGGAAUAUUGCGCAAUGGGCGAAAGCCUGACGCAGCGACGCCGCGUGAGGGAUGAAGGUCUUCGGAUCGGAAACCUCUGUCAGCAGGGAAGAACGGUCACUGUGCUAAUCAGCAGUGAAUUGACGGUACCUGCAAAGGAAGCACCGGCUAACUCCGUGCCAGCAGCCGCGGUAAUACGGGGGGUGCGAGCGUUAAUCGGAAUUACUGGGCGUAAAGCGAGCGUAGGCGGUAUGUCAAGUCAAGGGUGAAAUCCCCGCGCUCAACGUGGGAACUGCCUGUGAAACUGGCAAACUGGAGUGUGUGAGAGGAUAGUGGAAUUCCAGGUGUAGCAGUGAAAUCCGUAGAUAUCUGGAGGAACAUCAGUGGCGAAGGCGACUAUCUGGCACAUAACUGACGCUGAGGAGCGAAAGCGUGGGUAGCAAACAGGAUUGGAUACCCGUGUAGUC